ACGGUGUCACUCUCUCACCUAGGCUGGAGUGCAGUGGCACGAUCUCAGCUCACUGCAACUUCUGACUCCUGGGUCCAAGCAAUUGUCCUGCCUCAGUCUCCCAAGUAGCUGGGAUUAUAGACACGUGCCACUAUGCCCAGCUAAGUUUUGUAUUUUUAGUUGAGAUAGAGUUUUGUCAUGUUGGCCAGGCUGGUUUCGAACCCCUGGGCUGAAGUGAUCCACCUGCCUUGGCCUCCCAAAGUGCUGGGAUUACAUGUGUGAGCCACCGCACCUAGCCCUAAUUUUUUUUUUUUUUUUUUUUUUUUUUGUAGAGAUGAGGUCUCGCUAAUUUGCCCAGGCUGGUCCUGAACUCCUGGGUUCAACUAAUUCUCCUGCCUCAGCCUCUCAAAGUGCUGGGAUUACAGGCAUGAGACACCACGCCAGGCUGGUGGUGAGUUUUAAAAUUUUCCAGUGCCUCAGUGUUUCUACCUGUAGAAUGCCAAAAAGUAGAUGGCAUCUUUGCGAGGAUGAAGCCGACUAGCUUUUUUUAAUUUUUUUUUGAGACAGAAUUUCUCUCUUGUCACCCAGGCUGGAGUGCAAUGGUGUGAUCUUGGCUCACUGCAACCUCUGCCUCCUGGAUUCAAGUGAUUCUCCUCUCUCAGCCUCCAAGUAGCUGGGAUUACAAAGCCAGCUAGCUUUAAGAUACAGUGUUGGGCAUCACAUUUUGGCACGGAGCAGGCACUCUUUUCUUUGCCCUCAGGUGGGACUUAGCCACCACAAGCCUUCCCUGGUGUGUGCAGUGGGUGAUGAAUGCUUGCCUGCUCAGCACCCACUACAUGGUGGGCUGGGUCACAUUACUCUGACUCCCCCUUGAGCUUCAGUCCGUGCCUGGUUCAAGAUGUAUUGACUCAACUCGAGGAUCCAGAGGUGGGAUGUGGCUCUGGCCUGGCCAGAGGACCGAAGAUGCUGCAUGCCAUGGCUACAGCAACUGGUUCAGCUUUGGGCUCAUGUCCUAGUCAGAGCCAAUGAGAUGUAAUCUUGGGAUAUCUGCUGGGCUGUUGGGAAGGGGACAGGCUGCCCUGCUCAUCCCCAUUCCUGAUGCUGAGGGAUCUGAGAAAAUCACUUGUAAAAUUCGGGGGUGUUUGGAAGAUGGGGAGACUGAUGUCUCCUUCUCUCUACAGACAUCUGAUCAGCUACAGAGCUUGACUGACCUACCCAGAGGCAGAAUGAUAUGGUGGUUAAAAGUGUGCCCUGGGCCGAGAUCUUGCCACUGCACUCCAGCCUGGGUGACAGAGUGAGACUCCAUCUCAAAAGAAAAAAAAAAGUGUGCUCUGGGCUGGUCGCAGGAGUUUAUGACUGUAAUCCCAGCAGUUUGGGAGGCUGAGGCAGGAGGAUCGCUUGAAGUCAGGAGUUUGAGAUCAGACCCUAUCUCUAGAAAAAUGUUUUAAAAAUUAGCUGGGUUGGUGGUGAAUGCCUGUAGUCCCAGCUACUCAGGAGGCUGAGGCGGGAAGAUUGCUGGAGCCCGGGAGUUCAAGGCUGCAGUGAGCCAUGAUCAGGCCACUGCACUCCAGUUUGAGGGACAGAGAGAGACCCCAUCUCCCUAAAGCACAAAAAAGUGUGCUCUGGUGCCACACUGCCUGGUUAGAUCCUUUGUCCACCACUUAGAUGCAUGUUAUAUAAAUGCUCUCCUCAGUUUCCUCAUCUGUAACUUGGGGAUGAUAAUGCUGCCCCAUUAAGUGGUUAUGGGGACUAAAUUCAUGUGGGCGCAUUGGUAAGUAUUCAACAAGCUUGAUUUUUUCCUGGAGAGGGAGAAAGAGCAUACAGUGAAGUGGCAUGCUCAGGUGCAUUGGGGCAAGGAUUAUUUCCUCUGGCUUCUGCCUCCUGGGAGGUACUAAGGAUGGAUCUGAAAUGUGUCUGCAGACCCCAGAGUUGGGGACUGCAGAGGGAAAUUGAGAUCAGGGACCCCAGUCUGGCAGAAAUGGGUGCAGCAUGGGGCAUUGGGUUCCUUCCAUCAGAGGCAUGGGGUGUGUUGCAGACAGUCAUGAGAUGUGGCUGAAUCUUGCAAGGGAGCUGCAGUCCUAGGGUUGCUGCUUGAGACAAUGACCGCUGUCAGUGGAACCUGGUGACCUUCACCCUUCUCUGUCAGGCUGCAGACAGCAAGAGAUGGCAGGAGGUUACACCCAACAGGAAAAGGGCCAUUGCUAUCCCACAGGUUGCCAUAGGAGGAGAUGACAUCUCUUCCCUCUCCUCCUCCAGCAGUGUCAGCUGGGGAAGAGGUGGGUGGGGGUGCACAAAAGAGUAGACCACAGACCAUGCUCCUUCUCCUCCAGUCUGCUGGGGCCCCAAGAGAGUCUGCAGCCCUUGGCCAGGGACCGGCUGAUACAGGAGAACAAAAGAUCUCAGUCUGGGAUAACAUGGUGGUGCAGCUGAUCCUCUGGAACUCCCUGUGAGAUCAGACUGGAGCCAGUCUCCAGCUGAGACCACAUCUCACUUAGCUCCUUCCCUGCCAUAUCCUGUUUUCCUUACUCCUAUCUACUGAGAGUCCUGAAUGAAUUACAUGCACUCAAUCCCUGCCUCAGGCUCUGCUUUUAGGGAACUUGACCUAAGACAGAUAUCUUAGUACUAAAUACUUUGCAAGGCCUCAGAAGCUCUGCUAUCCACAGGCAGGUGAGAUAUUACCUUCCCUACCACCUGGCAGUCAUAGUCUAUGAUGCGAUUCAGCUUUGUGGAAGUGCUUCUGUAAAGAACUUCCCCCAACUUAAGAUGAUCUUAAUUUGCUUACUUGUUUACUGUCCAUUUAGCUGCUGUAAAAUGUGAGCUCCAAAUCAGUGGUCAUGUCUGGUUAGUUACCCAUUUCCUGGGACCUAGAACGGGCCUAGCUCAGAGCAUGUGCUCACUAUUGAUGGAAUGCAUGUUGAAAGAACGCAUGAAUCUCAUCUCCUUUUGUGGGUGAAAAACUCAUCCUAUUCUCACUCCUGAUUAACUUUCCUUCUUUUUUUUUUUUUUUUUUUUUUUCAAAACGGAGCCAUGAUCUGUCACCCAGGCUGGAGUGCAAUGGUGUGAUCUCAUCUCGCUGCAACCUCUGCCUUCUGGAUUAAAGCAAUUCUCCUGCCUCAGCCUCCCGGGUAUCUGGGAUUACAGUUGCACGCCACCACACCUGGCUAAUUUUUUGUAUUUUUAAUAGAGACAGGGUUUCACCAUGUUGGCCAGGCUUGUCUUGAACUCCUGACGUCGUGAUCUGCCUGCUUUGGCCUCCCAAAGUCCUGGGAUUACAGGCAUGAGCCACCGUACCCAGCCACUCUUGAUUAACUUAAUGGAAAUAUUUACAGAGAUUCUUUCUCUUCUGGGUUCUAGCGUCUUAUCUGUAACCUCUGCAGGUGCAGGAAUGAGAGGCAGCAGCCGGGGAAGCCAGGGUCUCCGGAAGUCCUUGUCUCUGGGCGGUGAUCCAGAGAGAGAGAGAGAACACGAUUGUCUCAGCAAUGGGUCUUCUUCUGAGUCUUGAAGGAGCACUUCCAGAGCCUCUCAGUGUUAAACAUCGUGUUGUGAAUGACUCCGUGAGCUCUGACCCAGUGACCUUGGGGAUAAAGGAGGGGAGGUACGGAUAAGCUCUUCGAAUGGAUGUUGCCGGGGUGUCAGUGUUCUUUGAGGGCACAGACUAUGUGUCACUAAAGAAAGAGCCCAGUGCCUUUUCUCAUUGCUCAAGAGAUUGAAGGGGUAGUAAGAAAAGAUGUUAAGUUAUAAACACGUUUCAGUUUUGGUACCAGUUGAACCAAUUUACGUUUUGAAGAGGAAAGAGUCUUGCCUACAAUGUCAGCCCCCGGGUUUUCCUUCUGCUUAUGGAAUCCAGGCAAUGGGCAAAGAGAAAAAGAAAACUAAGGAAUCAGCCAGG
rnacentral:lncRNA from 10 species